rnacentral:rRNA from 1 species
GAUGAACGCUAGCGACAGGCUUAACACAUGCAAGUCGAGGGGCAGCAUAAAAGUAGCAAUACUUUGGUGGCGACCGGCGCACGGGUGAGUAACGCGUAUGCAACCUACCUAUCAGAGGGGAAUAACCCGGCGAAAGUCGGACUAAUACCGCAUAAAACAGGGGCACCGCAUGGUGAUAUUUGUUAAAGAAAUUCGCUGAUAGAUGGGCAUGCGUUCCAUUAGGUAGUUGGUGAGGUAACGGCUCACCAAGCCGACGAUGGAUAGGGGAACUGAGAGGUUGGUCCCCCACACUGGGACUGAGACACGGACCAGACUCCUACGGGAGGCAGCAGUGAGGAAUAUUGGUCAAUGGGCGAGAGCCUGAACCAGCCAAGUCGCGUGAAGGAAGAAGGAUCUAUGGUUCGUAAACUUCUUUUGCAGGGGAAUAAAGUGCAGGACGUGUCCUGUUUUGUAUGUACCCUGAGAAUAAGGAUCGGCUAACUACGUGCCAGCCGCCGCGGUAAAAC